rnacentral:rRNA from 1 species
CAGCAGCCGCGGUAAUACGAAGGGGGCUAGCGUUGUUCGGAAUUACUGGGCGUAAAGCGCACGUAGGCGGAUAUUUAAGUCAGGGGUGAAAUCCCAGAGCUCAACUCUGGAACUGCCUUUGAUACUGGGUAUCUUGAGUAUGGAAGAGGUGAGUGGAAUUCCGAGUGUAGAGGUGAAAUUCGUAGAUAUUCGGAGGAACACCAGUGGCGAAGGCGGCUCACUGGUCCAUUACUGACGCUGAGGUGCGAAAGCGUGGGGAGCAAACAGGAUUAGAUACCCGAGUAGUCCCUGUCUCUUAUAC